CCGAGUUUACAACUCCCAAACCCCUGUGAACAUACCUGUUUUGUUGCUUCGGCGGUGCCCUCGCUCUCGCGGCGAGGCCCGCCAGAGGACCCAAACAAACUCUUUGAUUUUGAUCUAGGAUUAUACAUCUGAGUGAUACAAAAAUAAAAUCA
rnacentral:misc_RNA from 1 species